CAUGAGAGAUUGAGAUCAUUCUUCUCUCUUGAAUUGAGAUCUCCAAUUUGGAAUCCAUCAACAUCUCCAAAAAGCAUUCCUUUGGGUUGAAACAUGUGUUUUGUGAUUCAAAUCAAGGUCUUCAGUUUGGUUCAUAGUAACAGCAGAUAUGCAUGCAGCAUAUAUAAUUUUAGGUAGAAGGAAUACUCCAUUAAAAGGGUUGGCAGUCAAUCAUGAAGGAACAGAACACAUGAACAGGUCCAAAGUGGUGAAGUUUGGUACAAGAAUAAUUUCCUUUGAUGGGAAGGCCAGAUAGGACAAGCAUGGAGAUUGAACGGAAGACAUGAUAGACCUCAAAAGAGGAUUGGAACCCGAGACUGUGCUGUGUCUUUGUGAAUUCUGAUAUCAUGUGAACUUAAAGGCAAGUGUUCUCGAGUUCUCAAACAUGAAGUUUGCAGAAUGCCUUCUGAAGGAUCAAACUGUGCUUCCAGAUCAGAACCAAGAGUUUCAUUCCAAGGGGAGUGCAAAGACAGCAACGAAGAGGGGAUAGAGAGAGAGAGAGAGAGAGAGAGAGGAAUACCAGCAGCUAGUUCAUGUGAAGACAACAUAGAACAACAUGCUACACCAGUGCCAUCAGAACCAGAUCAAACAUGGUGCUCAAGGCAUGCAAUUGAUCUUACCAGGAAGAUCCCAUGGUUCGCACUUGUUGAGAUCAACAUCCACCAUCACAGCACUGCCAUGGAAGCUACCGCGGCCGCCGUCUCCGGCGAGCUUCACCGCGAGGUAAUCGCAGACGAGCUCGUCGUCCCUCGGGUGGAACCUGAAGCCCGGAGGCAGCUCUGCCUCCACCAUGCUCAACAUGCUCAUGGUGGUGUUGAUGAGAGGCAAACCACCGAGUAGAAUGAUGGAGUAUAUUAAAACUAAGUGGAGUAGGUGUUGUGUAUUAAUGAGGCCACUAAGUCAACUUUUGUAGGGGAGUUAGCAUGGGAUGGUUUGGAGUUUCAUCCAUAGGGAAGGGAAUGAACAAUGUCACAUACUUUUCUUCUUCCAUCUUCCCCACUUGAUGGUGACAUGGGGAUUGAUUAUUCCUUAAUCUAAUGUAGUUUAUUUGUUGAUUCAUUGCAUAGAAACUCUUUUUAUAUGGA